AUUGAACGCUGGCGGAAUGCUUUACACAUGCAAGUCGAACGGCAGCACGGGUGCUUGCACCUGGUGGCGAGUGGCGAACGGGUGAGUAAUAUAUCGGAACGUACCUAGUAAUGGGGGAUAACUAGUCGAAAGAUUAGCUAAUACCGCAUACGCCCUGAGGGGGAAAGCGGGGAUCGUAAGACCUCGCGUUAUUAGAGCGGCCGAUAUCUGAUUAGCUAGUUGGUGGGGUAAAGGCCCACCAAGGCGACGAUCAGUAGCUGGUCUGAGAGGACGACCAGCCACACUGGAACUGAGACACGGUCCAGACUCCUACGGGAGGCAGCAGUGGGGAAUUUUGGACAAUGGGCGCAAGCCUGAUCCAGCCAUUCCGCGUGAGUGAAGAAGGCCUCGGGUUGUAAAGCUCUUUCGCAAGGGAAGAAACGAUAUAGACGAAUAAUCUAUGUUAAUGACGGUACCUUGAUAAGAAGCACCGGCUAACUACGUGCCAGCAGCCGCGGUAAUACGUAGGGUGCGAGCGUUAAUCGGAAUUACUGGGCGUAAAGCGUGCGCAGGCGGUUUUGUAAGUCAGAUGUGAAAUCCCCGGGCUCAACCUGGGAACUGCGUUUGAAACUACAAGGCUAGAGUAUAGGAGAGGGGGGUAGAAUUCCACGUGUAGCAGUGAAAUGCGUAGAGAUGUGGAGGAAUACCAAUGGCGAAGGCAGCCCCUGGCCUAAUA
rnacentral:rRNA from 1 species